rnacentral:lncRNA from 10 species
GCUGCUUGGUAUGCUCCAUGAACUUUAUAAUUUUUAAAGCAAUACACAUUUCUGAGGUUAUGUAAAUCAAAUUUUUGACAAAAACUUUUCUGGGAAAUGCUUCUUUGAUUUUACAAUUCAGACUCCUAGAGUAUGACAGCUGGAAAAAAAGCGAUAAUCUAUCAACUCAUUUGGCAAAGGUAGAAACCGAGGCAGGAGAAUCGCUUGAACCCAGGAGGCGGAGGUUGCAGUGAGCCAAGAUCGCGCCACUGCACUCCAGCCUGGGUGACAGAGCGAGGCUCCAUCUCAAAAA